GAAACUACGUAGCUGAGACUACGAAAAGUUCUCAUGCGCUUUACGCCAAUCUUUGCAAAAAAUGCCUUCUGUCAAGGGAUGAUAUAGCUAGGUUAUGAAUAAAAAAACCGGAGUCGACCAUCUCCCAGACACGAAUGCUGAAGCGCCGUAUCAGGAAAUGUCGUGAAACUUUCAGCUGCAAGGAGUUACAAGACAAGAUUGCAUUCCAGCAUGACUUCUCACUUAUAGCUACAUUSUAAACCAAUCAAAAUACAGUAUUCCACGUGCACCAUACAUGGUACCAUUAUAAUUGGAGGAAAUGGGAUGAUUGACAGAAAAAUAUCAGGUGAUCAAGGGUUUGAUAACCUUCGCUUGCCUUURCAUUCAUUCUAUUCACAGAACGAGCUCAGAUAGAAAAGUUGGGUGAAAAAARGUACAUGGCCUCAAGCAAGAUCCAUGAAAGUGUAGCUUGGUCUGGUCAACUACUGAACAGAGUAAUUCAUAUUAACACACGAUCCUUGAGCAAGUUCUAAAAMUUGUUUYCCAAAAACCAUUUCAUUGUUGGCACCGCUUUUGGUUUGAAUUUAUCUUUCACGCUUUACUUGCUCGAGUUAUCARUGUCUUGUUUAAUAUUAAGGGGUUGUUUGGUUGUUCCUAAAUCGAAUAUGGAACAAUAAGAAAUAAUUGACCUGCAAUGAGCAUUUCUAAAAUAUAUCAUUUACAAUUUGGUUCUGCGUCUAUUGCAAGUCAAAAUAACACUAGCUUAGGUCUAGGAUUAGAGGAGCUUUGAGCAUGCAAAGCACUAACAGAUGUAUAGGAGAAGCUACCACGUUUAAAUGUAGGUGGGUUUAGUGUUUUUGACUGGCAUUUGCCAGGGUCAAUUGGCCAAAUCUAGGGUUAGUUUUUCCAAUUGGCAACGCUGGACAUCACUGGAGACGAGCUGGAGAUGACCUGGAUCAACAAAUCUAAUAAAAUGCGUCUUGCUUGAUUUAAAAUGGA